CCAUAUUAGAAAUAAGUAUAAGUUAAAAUUGGAAUGAUACAGAGAAGAUUAGCAUGACCCCUGCACAAGGUUGACAUGCAAAUUCAUGAAACAUUCAUAUUAAAA